rnacentral:rRNA from 1 species
AAACCAACAGGGAUUGCCUCAGUAACGGCGAGUGAAGCGGCAACAGCUCAAAUUUGAAAUCUGGCCCUAGGGUCCGAGUUGUAAUUUGUAGAGGAUGCUUUUGGUGAGGUGCCUUCCAAGUUCCCUGGGACGGAACGCCAUAGAGGGUGAGAGCCCCGUCUGGUUGGACACCAAACCUCUGUAAAGCUCCUUCGACGAGUCGAGUAGUUUGGGAAUGCUGCUCUAAAUGGGAGGUAUAUGUCUUCUAAAGCUAAAUACCGGCCAGAGACCGAUAGCGCACAAGUAGAGUGAUCGAAAGAUGAAAAGCACUUUGAAAAGAGGGUUAAACAGUACGUGAAAUUGUUGAAAGGGAAGCGUUUAUGACCAGACUUGGGCAUGGCUGAUCAUCCGGUGUUCUCACCGGUGCACUCUGCCGGUCCAGGCCAGCAUCAGUUCGUUUCGGGGGAUAAAGGCGGCAGGAACGUGGCUCCCUCGGGAGUGUUAUAGCCUGUCGUGUAAUGCCCUGGGGCGGACUGAGGUUCGCGCUUCCGCAUGGAUGCUGGCGUAAUGGUCAUCAACGAC